AACAAAGAUUGGACUGGACAGGGCUUUUCCCCAUUCCCUCAUCACUUCUCUCUCCUGCUGCCAUGUGAAGAAGGACAUGUUUUCUUCUCCUUCCACCAUGAUUGUAAGUUUCCUGAGGCCUCCCCAGCCAUGCGGAACUGUGAGUCAGUUAAACCUCUUUGUUUUAUAAAUUACUCAGUCUCCGAUAUUUCUUCAUAGCAGCCUGAAAGUUAAUUAAUACAGUAGAGGAAUAACAAGUAGAAAGAUAGGAAAUGACACUCCAGAAACAAGAAAUUGUGCAAUGAUAUCACAAUGCAGUAGAAGCAUGAGAAAGUGUUUUUCAGUGAAUGCUAAGUAUUCUGCAACAUAUGGAGCAAGCUGUGGGAAGGGAUAGGGGAUGAUGAGUUGGGAGAGAGGGAGUUGGUUUGCAUCACAUGUUGAAAAGCCUUGGAUGCCUAGUUAAGGAGCUCAGGCUUCAUCCUGAAUGCCGCGUGGCAGGGGUAUGACUGGUUUCCAUGGAUGUGCUAGGAGAUAGUGACACCAGUAAUAGAGGGGAAGAUGCUCAUGGGAAAAGAAAGUCCGGAGGCAAAAUAUUCCUUUAGGAGGACAUGGCCUUAGCCUAAUUAAGACUUAAUAAGAGCUUUACCUGGGUAUCGCAAAUUCCAGACUGCUGAAAAUGUCAUCUCGUAGAAAUGUUUUCUUUGGCUUUCACAGGGUUAAACAAACAAAUAUAUUGUCAAUUCUUUAAUGAAUACCCCUCAAAUUGAAAAAGGCUCCACUUAUAGACAACUUGCAUGGGUGUAACAGGAAGAAGUCAGAAGGCAAAUCAGAAUAUGACAUACAGAGUCCAAGUACACGUAAUGGAAAAAUGAAUUUAAAACCAAGAGUCAAUAGCAAAAAACUGUCAUGCUAAGCAUUUGAUGAUUUGUGAUAUUGCUAUAAAUGGUAUCUUUUAAUUUUUCUUUUCCAUGUCUUUCUGAUAUAUGAAAUGCAAUCAAUUUUUCUAAUAACUUUUUAUACAGAGGGUUUGCUAAGUGUAUUUAUUAAUCCUAAUAAUUGCUUCAUAGAUUCCUUUGGAUAUUCUGUCUGUAUAAAAUCAUGCUGCCUACACAUAAUAAGAAUUUUAUUGCUUCCUUUUCAAUCCUAAACAAUUUAUUUAAUUUUCCUCCCUUAUUACAUUGGCUAGGACUUCCAGUAAAAUACUGAAUAAAAG
rnacentral:lncRNA from 10 species